rnacentral:rRNA from 1 species
ACCGCACAAGCGGUGGAUGAUGUGGAUUAAUUCGAUGCAACGCGAAAACCUUACCUACCCUUGACAUGUCCGGAAUCCCGAAGAGAUUUGGGAGUGCUCGCAAGAGAGCCGGAACACAGGUGCUGCAUGGCUGUCGUCAGCUCGUGUCGUGAGAUGUUGGGUUAAGUCCCGCAACGAGCGCAACCCUUGUCAUUAGUUGCCAUCAUUUGGUUGGGCACUCUAAUGAGACUGCCGGUGACAAGCCGGAGGAAGGUGGGGAUGACGUCAAGUCCUCAUGGCCCUUAUAGGUGGGGCUACACACGUCAUACAAUGGCUGGUACAAAGGGUUGCCAACCCGCGAGGGGGAGCCAAUCCCAUAAAGCCAGUCGUAGUCCGGAUCGUAGUCUGCAACUCGACUACGUGAAGUCGGAAUCGCUAGUAAUCGUGGAUCAGAAUGUCACGGUGAAUACGUUCCCGGGUCUU